AGAGGCACGUUCAUUUGAAUAAACAAGGAAAGUGCUUUUUGCACUAGAAGAACAGACAUUAGAGGAGAUAUCUAAGCUCGGUGGCAAUCCUGUCUUAUCUGCUGUGUUUGAACGCCUCAGAGCUGUGUAUGCCCACCAAUAGAUUGCCGAGAUAACAUGUUAAGCAAACCUGCGACGUCUCCACAUGCAAACAUUUUCCUAGCUGAGCAAGAUGGCAGAAUGAGAGACAGUUUACCAGGCUCAUCAAUAUCCACCUAUUGUGUUGUCCUUCACAUGCCUGACCUU